rnacentral:rRNA from 1 species
AGAGUUUGAUCCUGGCUCAGAUUGAACGCUGGCGGCAUGCCUUACACAUGCAAGUCGAACGGCAGCACGGGAGCAAUCCUGGUGGCGAGUGGCGAACGGGUGAGUAAUAUAUCGGAACGUACCUUGGAGUGGGGGAUAACGUAGCGAAAGUUACGCUAAUACCGCAUAUUCUGUGCGCAGGAAAGCAGGGGAUCUUAGGACCUUGUGCUCUUUGAGCGGCCGAUAUCAGAUUAGCUAGUUGGUGAGGUAAAGGCUCACCGAGGCGACGAUCUGUAGCGGGUCUGAGAGGAUGAUCCGCCACACUGGAACUGAGACACGGUCCAGACUCCUACGGGAGGCAGCAGUGGGGAAUUUUGGACAAUGGGGGCAACCCUGAUCCAGCCAUGCCGCGUGAGUGAAGAAGGCCUUCGGGUUGUAAAGCUCUUUCGGCCGGGAAGAAAUCGCAUCGGUUAAUACCCGGUGUGGAUGACGGUACCGGAAUAAGAAGCACCGGCUAACUACGUGCCAGCAGCCGCGGUAAUACGUAGGGUGCGAGCGUUAAUCGGAAUUACUGGGCGUAAAGCGUGCGCAGGCGGUUUGUUAAGAUAGGCGUGAAAUCCCCGGGCUCAACCUGGGAACUACGCUUAUGACUGGCAGGCUAGAGUACGGCAGAGGGGGGUGGAAUUCCACGUGUAGCAGUGAAAUGCGUAGAGAUGUGGAGGAACACCAAUGGCGAAGGCAGCCCCCUGGGUCGAUACUGACGCUCAUGCACGAA